rnacentral:lncRNA from 1 species
AGAUGUCAAAUAAGAGUUGUAAUUAGAAGUUGAAGUUCUAGGGAGAGAUCUGAACUGGAAAGAUAAAUUUGGAAGUCAUUAGCUUGGAGAAAGUUUGCAAAGCCAAGAGACGGGGCUUCUGAGAGUGUGGUCCACAUACCAGUAGCAUCAGCAUCAUCUGGGAGCUGGGUAGAAGUGCUGAAUCUCAGGCCUGUCCCCAGACCUGGUUAAUAGGAAUCUAUCUUAUAACAAGGUCUACAUGUGAUUUCUGUGCAUAUUAAAGUUUGAGAAGUGCUGUUCUAGGGCCUGAGCAAAGAUGAGGGGGUGGGGGGAUGCCUGUGCUGAGCCCUGGAGCACCAGCAAGGGACACUCAGGGAUGACAGCCAGAGGACCCCCCCACCCCCAGUCUGGCAAGAUUCCAAGCCUUAUGAACCAGGCCUUGGUUUCCAUUAUGUCUCGGCCGCCCCACUUUACAGAUUUUAGAAAGCUAGGGCCUUAGAAGUGAAUAAGUCCUGUUAUGAUGGAAGGAGAUUCUGAUAACAGCAGCUAAGUUUUGGGGCUGGCCUAAGUGUACGGAUUCUAAGCCCGGCAGCCUCCCCACAGGAGCAAGGAGGGUGCUGUUGGGGCCCCAUGGGCUAGGAAGCCCUCCUUUGCAACCAGUGACACUUAUGUGGUACUUAGCCCCAACCCAUGUCCUGUGUGUUUCACUUCUUGGAGACUUGGUUUCCCCAUCUUGGAACCAACAUUUCCUGUCCCACCCAUCAUCCAGGGUUGUCUCCCCUGGACCCCAUCACCCAGCUGGAAUCCUGAGCAUCACCCUGCCUCCUUCCCCCCACUUCUGCAUCCUGCCACCAUCAAUUCUGUUUCCUAAAUAUUUGGAGGAUCCAUCCCCUCCUCUCCAUCCUCCCUGCCCUUCUCAUAUUUUUGUUCUUCCAGUAGCCUACUAAAUCUCUCCAGACUUUUGUGUCCCCAACAUCCUCCAUUUACAAUCACAAAUCUGACCCAGCAUCUGCCCUGAAGUGACUCGUCACUGUCUACAAGAUAUUGCUGAGGCAUCCUCGCUUGAAUUCAGUGUCCUGUGUGAUCUGGCCCCCACCAAGAUCCCAGUGUCAACUCUGUAACUUGUCCCCAAACUGCUCACAAGACCCAAACCUGCCGUGCUUCUGCCUCCACUGGAUUCUGCUGCCACGUGUGCCCUGCUAAUUUCCCAUCCUUUAGGAAAAUUCAAAUGACACCUCCAGGAAGCCAACUAGGACACCACAAACUGUUUGGUGACCUUCCUUUGGGGUCCUCAGACCCCGCUCUGUGCCCCAUUUCUGCGUAUACCACACUUUUGGAAACAGCUGAUGAUGUGUUUUCUCCCCACUAGUCUGUGAACCUGAGGGUGUGGGCUGUGCUUUGUUCAUUCCAUAUCCUGUGCACCUGGCACACAGUUUUUUGGUCCUCAGCUAGUGUUUGUUGAAUGGGUGAGUGAACGAGAGAGCAGACUUGAUGGUGCUGGGGGAAGCAUAGAGCUGGAGCCUGGAAAGGCAUCUGGGGUGGAAGGGAAGCUGGUGCUCUGAGGCAUUGAGCUGUUAGUGUCUUGCCCCAGGCACCAGAAGGAAGAUCCAAGAACCAGGAAAUGGUGGAUGGGUGGGUGGGGUGGGAGUCCAUAGGUUUCUCAGCAGCCAAACCCCAAAACCCUAAUACUUCACCUCUGUGGGCUUC